UACGUAGGUGGCAAGCGUUGUCCGGAUUUAUUGGGCGUAAAGAGCGUGUAGGCGGUUCGGUAAGUCUGUCGUGAAAUCCUGAGGCUCAACCUCGGGCGUGCGAUGGAUACUGCCGGGCUAGAGGAUGGUAGAGGCGAGUGGAAUUCCUGGUGUAGCGGUGGAAUGCGCAGAUAUCAGGAGGAACACCAACGGCGAAGGCAGCUCGCUGGGACGGUACUGACGCUGAGGCGCGAAAGCGUGGGGAGCGAACAGG
rnacentral:rRNA from 1 species